AGCCCGCCGAGCCGGGCUAGCCGUCAAGCCGGCGGCGGCGCGAGCCCCGGUUUUUUUUGGCGCGCUUUUUCCGCCCCGAGGACACCAGCACCUUCUUCGUGGGCACCGCCUUGGGCACGCCCAGGGAAGCACCCGGAGGCCCCGCAGGGGCGCCAAGUGUUUGUGUCUGUGUUGUGAGUGAAGUGAAAACCCGUGCAAGGAUAACCUCAAGAACCUGGACUUCCUCCUGCUUCGUCCCGGGAUCUCACUCAAGGUGAUGGAAGUAACUGCAGGACAAGGUGACGGUUGAGGGAUGAGCGUGAUCACCGCCAUCAAGGAGGCCGACAUGUCGCCGACCAAAGAUUUCCUUCGGAAUAUGACGUAGCGACGUGCUGCCCCCGACGUUGCAAAUCGAUGCGGCCGGCGCACCGCAGGCCCCAGGCAGCCCCAGCAGCCCCAGCAGCCCCAGCAGCCCCGGGCCACAGCCGCUGCUGCCACUGCCGCUGCUCCAGGCCGAGGCCGCUCAGCCUGACGGGACGCCACUCUGCCCCGGCCGCCCCCGCCGUCCCGCCGUCAAGUUAUUUUUUGCGACGAAAAGUCGCUAAAACGAGAGGCGUCCUGACGCAGCCGCGGCGCCAGCGACAGCGGCAACCUCAGGGGCAGCCUCAGCGACAGCGGCCCUCGCCAGGCUA